rnacentral:rRNA from 1 species
GAUGAACGCUGGCGGCGUGCCUAACACAUGCAAGUCGAGCGAAGCACUUUGCUUAGAUUCUUCGGAUGAAGAGGAUUGUGACUGAGCGGCGGACGGGUGAGUAACGCGUGGGUAACCUGCCUCAUACAGGGGGAUAACAGUUAGACAUGACUGCUAAUGCCGCAUAAGACCACAGCACCGCAUGGUGCGGGGGUAAAAACUCCGGUGGUAUGAGAUGGACCCGCGUCUGAUUAGCUAGUUGGUAAGGUAACGGCUUACCAAGGCGACGAUCAGUAGCCGACCUGAGAGGGUGACCGGCCACAUUGGGACUGAGACACGGCCCAAACUCCUACGGGAGGCAGCAGUGGGGAAUAUUGCACAAUGGGGGAAACCCUGUUGCAGCGACGCCGCGUGAGCGAAGAAGUAUUUCGGUAUGUAAAGCUCUAUCAGCAGGGAAGAAAAUGACGGUACCUGACUAAGAAGCACCGGCUAAAUACGUGCCAGCAGCCGCGGUAAUACGUAUGGUGCAAGCGUUAUCCGGAUUUACUGGGUGUAAAGGGAGCGUAGACGGAUGGGCAAGUCUGAUGUGAAAACCCGGGGCUCAACCCCGGGACUGCAUUGGAAACUGUUCAUCUAGAGUGCUGGAGAGGUAAGUGGAAUUCCUAGUGUAGCGGUGAAAUGCGUAGAUAUUAGGAGGAACACCAGUGGCGAAGGCGGCUUACUGGACAGUAACUGACGUUGAGGCUCGAAAGCGUGGGGAGCAAACAGG